rnacentral:rRNA from 1 species
GUGGGGAAUCUUCCGCAAUGGACGAAAGUCUGACGGAGCAACGCCGCGUGAGUGAUGAAGGUCUUCGGAUUGUAAAGCUCUGUUAAUCGGGACGAAAGAGCCUAGUGUGAAUAAUGCUAGGAAGUGACGGUACCGGAAUAGAAAGCCACGGCUAACUACGUGCCAGCAGCCGCGGUAAUACGUAGGUGGCAAGCGUUGUCCGGAAUUAUUGGGCGUAAAGCGCGCGCAGGCGGAUCUGCCAGUCUGUCUUAAAAGUUCGGGGCUUAACCCCGUGAUGGGAUGGAAACUACAGAUCUAGAGUAUCGGAGAGGAAAGUGGAAUUCCUAGUGUAGCGGUGAAAUGCGUAGAUAUUAGGAAGAACACCAGUGGCGAAGGCGACUUUCUGGACGAAAACUGACGCUGAGGCGCGAAAGCGUGGGGAGCAAACAGGAUUAGAAACCCUUGUAGUCC